rnacentral:rRNA from 1 species
GUUGAACGCUAGCUACAGGCUUAACACAUGCAAGUCGAGGGACCGGCGCACGGGUGAGUAACACGUCUCCAACCUGCCCUUUACUCGGUGAUAGCCUUUCGAAAGAAAGAUUAAUACCCGAUAUAAAGGAUGGGGAUGCGUUCCAUUAGGUUGUUGGUGAGGUAACGGCUCACCAAGCCUUCGAUGGAUAGGGGUUCUGAGAGGAAGGUCCACCACAUUGGAACGGAUACACGGUCCAAACUCCGACGGGAGGCAGCAGUGAGGAAUAUUGUUCAAUGGGCGCUAGCCUGAACCAGCCAAGUAGCGUGAAGGAUGAAGGCUGAGUGAUCGUAAUCUACGUUAAUGUAAGUAUAUGUACUAGCUGAAGAAGGAUCGGCUAACGCCUUGCAAGCAGCCGCGGUAAUAC